rnacentral:rRNA from 1 species
GAUGAACGCUGGCGGCGUGCCUAAUACAUGCAAGUCGAGCGAACAGAUGAGGAGCUUGCUCCUCUGACGUUAGCGGCGGACGGGUGAGUAACACGUGGAUAACCUACCUAUAAGACUGGGAUAACUUCGGGAAACCGGAGCUAAUACCGGAUAAUAUAUUGAACCGCAUGGUUCAAUAGUGAAAGACGGUUUUGCUGUCACUUAUAGAUGGAUCCGCGCCGCAUUAGCUAGUUGGUAAGGUAACGGCUUACCAAGGCAACGAUGCGUAGCCGACCUGAGAGGGUGAUCGGCCACACUGGAACUGGGACACGGUCCAGACUCCUACGGGAGGCAGCAGUAGGGAAUCUUCCGCAAUGGGCGAAAACCUGACGGAGCAACGCCGCGUGAGUGAUGAAGGUCUUCGGAUCGUAAAACUCUGUUAUUAGGGAAGAACAAAUGUGUAAGUAACUAUGCACGUCUUGACGGUACCUAAUCAGAAAGCCACGGCUAACUACGUG